rnacentral:sRNA from 1 species
CACCCCAAAACUCCAACCCUGAAAAGUGGCCCAUUAUCAGGCUUCAGGUUCCCAACCUCCUAAUCUCCAUCUUAACACCCUCAACCUCCUUGACCAGAGCUCCAUACCUCCUUGCAAUCUCCACCAUUGCUCCUGGCUUCCCUGAAGCAUCAUCACCACCACCCUCGCCACCUUUACCUUCCACAACACCUGCAGCUUCUCGUUUUCCCAUUUCCCCCAUAUCCGCCCGCUCGUACGCCUCGAGCUCUAACAACGCCUGUUUCCUCCUCUCCUCCAACCGCAGACGCGUAUCGCCCAGAUGAUCGCGGUAACGCGUUAGCGCAGCUGUGGUUUCCGGCGUGUAGAUUGCAGAGAGCAUUUCGUGUCUCAUGAUACUACAUAUAAUAAAAACAAAUUUAGCUUUUCCACCCCUUGAACAUGUGCGGUUUUAAUGCAAAAUGAAGAAGAACAAAGUGAAAAGGAAAUAGCAUACCAAACCUUCCCUUCAACCCCCUCCAACACGACUGCCACAUGGUCCGCUCUCGCUUUCACCCCGCGCGCCAAAACGCCGUGCUUGGUCCGCUCAAGGAUAUGUAUCACGCGCUCCAUCACUUCCGCAUGGGCCGCCAAUACAGCUGCGGCCGUGACUGUCAUUUUGUUCCGGGCAGUGGGGAGGUCGUGCGAUUGGAUUGUACGGAGGGUGCGCAAGCGGCUGGAGAGCUGGGAUGGGAGGGAUAUAUCGGUUGGGGAGGGUUUGAGGGAGAGGGGGCGGAGACGGUUACUGGGGCGUGGUUGGGUAUUUUUGCUCUUGUUGGUUGCGAUGCGGGCGGAGGAGGAAAAGGAGGUGGUGUUUGUGGCGGUUUGGUAGUUGUGUCUGUCAUUGUUGCUGCUGUUGUUGACAGGGGGUGAGGCGUUGGCAAGGGUUUUUAGAUGAGUGAGGUCCGCGGCGAGGAUGGCGGUGAUGCUAGGGAUGAGGGAGGGAAUUGCCGAGUGGAACUUUUUCAGAUCUGGGGAGAGAAGAGAGAGGAGCUCGGAGGUCUCGUCUGGGGAGAUUUGUUUAUUUCCGUUCUCUUUAUUGUUAUUAUUGGGGGAGUGUUGAAGGUAGAGAACGAUGAUGGAAACAAGGUUUCGGAGCUUGAAGUAUCAGAAGCCUCAAAAGUGUCAGUCAAUGAUAUAAUGUAUAUAUUGGUAUUUCUCUAUGCAAAGGAAAAGAUAGCAUUGCCAUCCCCUUAUCCAUAAAUCUUUCCGAAAUGGAGGACUCACCUCGUCAUCUAAACUCCCGUUCCCAUCCCCUACCGCAACCUGCGCAACCACCCUGGUCAAUAUCCGCGCUUUCACCGCCCUUCCCAAGUACUUCUUGAGAUCCUGUUUUCGAAAUCAGUCUAUCGUCAUCAAUGUAUACACGCAUCUCUCAGAAAAUAAGACCCUCCUCAUCAGGCCGCCCGACAUAAAACUUACAGCCUGCACUGCUCUCCGGGACGGAUCGGUGGCAUUGGCGCGUGUGGAGCCAUCGGGGUUUAAGAUGGCCGUUGUCAACUGUUGAUGGAGGGCCUUGAACUGGGGAUUGUUGCUUAGGAUGGCCGGAUCGCAGGGCGAUAUCAUGGUCGGCUAUGGGACGGCUGGAAGGAGUUGAGUUUUUGCAAGUGAUGAAUGUUUUGAAUCCUGCGUGGAAGUUGUGUCGUUCACAACACGCUAGACUCCCUGCUUCAUUCAACCUACGUCGCUCAACCACCGCCUCUUUGCGGGAAAUGAAUUACAGGCUCAUAGAACAAUAUUAUUUUUUCAAUUCUUAUCUGACGAAACAUGCCUUCCCGUACAUCCUUUAAUCACUGGAAAAAAAGGGAUCUUACGGGAUGGGUGGAACAAACCAUCUCAGUUCCACUCAUGGUAAAUAAAAAAAAUAGAACGACCACGAAGGAGGCGAAAUCCGGGGGCUUGUGCUGUGCCCGCGUAUUAUGUGUCUCCUUAUAUUAUGGUUCUCAUCAUCAUGUCUCUUGUUGCUGGAUGAUGGUUUGAUGGUAAAUACGGAGAACAAUGGAUAGAAAGAAAAGCAAAGGAA